UAGGUAGACACACUACAGGCACAUGUAACUUCUUCACUAAAAGGCUUAACUUUGCCUUAAGCCAGCCCUGUCCACUGUUUCUGUGCACUUAGGCUAACACAUCUUUGAAAUAAGUCAUGGCCACUCUCAAGAGAGCACAUAAGCUUGUUAACUAUCCUGUAAUACAAUCCCAUCCUUGUUUUCUCCACCUCCAUGGAAUCUUCCUUAUGUCUCCUCCUUAAUUCCAAAUGCAUACAACAAGUUUCAAAACUGUUAUUCUGUGAAGCAUUUGAGGUCUUGUUCCAGGCAUAUGUCCUCAGUUUGGCUCAAAGAAACUCUUAUAAAAUUUUUCUACAGCUUGGAUGUUUCUUAGGUAGACAACAGCUCCAACUACUUCCCUUAGAACCUUGGUGGUUGUGAAGAUAAAGUCUCAGAAAUCACCCUGGCUGUUGUAACUCAGUUGGUUGGAGCAUUGUCCCAUAACUGAAACAUUGCAUGUUCAAUCCCAGCAGGGGCAAAUGCCUACAUUGUGGCUUUGUUCCCCAGUCUGGGCACAUGUGGGGGUAACCAAUUGAUGC